rnacentral:rRNA from 1 species
UACAGAGGUCCCAAGCGUUGUUCGGAUUCACUGGGCGUAAAGGGUGCGUAGGCGGUCGGGUAAGUCUGAUGUGAAAUCUCACAGCUUAACUGUGAAACUGCAUUGGAUACUAUCCGGCUCGAGGAAUGGAGGGGAGACUGGAAUACUUGGUGUAGCAGUGAAAUGCGUAGAUAUCAAGUGGAACACCAGUGGCAAAGGCGAGUCUCUGGACAUUUCCUGACGCUGAGGCACGAAAGCCAGGGGAGCAAACGGG